rnacentral:tRNA from 1 species
AGGGAUAUAGCUCUGUGGUAGAGCACUUGCCUAGCAAGUAUGAAGACCUGGGCAUCCCUA